UAAUAUGUAGUGAUACCACGAUAAGUUGCAAACUUAUAAAAGCUAAUAGCCCUAUUAA
rnacentral:tRNA from 1 species